UCAUUAAUAUUCUACCGGCGUAAGAGUGCUUAAAUAUUUAUCAAAUAGAGCUAAGACUAGUCUUCGCUGUAAAAAGCCAAAGCCAAAGUAAAAAUCAAUAACGAAAGUAACUCUAAUUUUUGUAGCACUAAAGCUAUUACCUAAACUGGGAUUAGAUACCCCACUAUAAUUAGCCAUAAACAUAAGUAGUUCAUAACAUUACUACUCGCCAGAGAACUACAAGCCACCGCUUAAAACUCAAAGGACUUGGCGGUGCUUUAUAUCCACCUAGAGGAGCCUGUUCCAUAACCGAUGAUCCCCGAUUUACCUCACCACUCCUUGCUAAUUCAGCCUAUAUACCGCCAUCUUCAGUUAACCCUAAAAAGGAAAUAAAGUAAGCCUAAUCAGUAUUACUAAAGAAGUUAGGUCAAGGUGUAGCCCAUGGAGUGGAGCGAAAUGGGCUACAUUUUCUAUUACUAGAACAUUACGAAACUCUACGUGAAAUCCGUAGAAUAAAGGAGGAUUUAGUAGUAAAUUAAAACUAGAGUGUUUAAUUGAAUAGAGCAAUGAAGCACGCACACACCGCCCGUCACCCUCCUCAAUUUCUCAACAAUUAAAAGUACAUAACACCUAAUUACAAAAGAUUGAGAGGAGACAAGUCGUAACAAGGUAAGUGUACUGGAAAGUGCACUUGGAAAAAUC
rnacentral:ncRNA from 1 species